CUGGUUGCCUGAGUGCUCAGCAAGUGGAAGCUACUGCUUUCUUUGAGGGAGCCCAACCAGGCCAAAAGGAAAAUCACCAAGCAGGUCUUGGGAAGAAAGGCCAUGUGGGAGUGAUGACAAGGAACAGUCUUUCUGGCCUCCAAAGGGAUAUUUAUUCCUGGGAUCCAGGACUGAUCUGGGGGUUUUCAGACUUCUAAAAAUGAAAUUAAAAAUUUGACUAACAUGGAGACAAGAAGUGAGACCAUCAUUUCCACACCCCGUCCUGAUAUGCGUGCCCCACACCACCGAGGAAGUGCCAGGAAAAUCACCAACCGGGUCUUGGGAAGAAAGGCCAUGAGGGAGUGAUGACAAGGAAAGAUCCUUCUGGACUCCAAAGGGAUAUUUAUUCCUGGGAUCCAGCACUGAUCUGGGGGUGAACAAUCUGUGUUUUUACAUGCUGCAUGGAUGUGUGUUUUGGGACAUUCGCUGGACCUGUGUUAAUCUAGGCAGGGAUCGAUUUGAUCCAGAUAAUCAAGAAGAGUCAGGUUGGAGGGGGAAAGUACGAGAAGGGAAAGGAAGACAUCAUUUCCUCGGUGUCAGGUUGGUUCUGUCUUCUUGUUCCAGCCUUCAACUGAACCCUCUUUCGUAUGUUUUUAUAUCUCUAGAAAAGAAAUCAAAUAACUUUUGCCCGACAUGGAGACAAGAAGUAAAACCAUCAUUUCCUCCC